rnacentral:sRNA from 1 species
CGGGGAUCCGUCCAGAUUUUACCCCGGUCGAUAUCAGACUCACUCAUAUCGGGCUCGGGCUCACUUUCGAGAUUGGGACCGGGACAUGCCAAAGCGCUGUAAUGCGUGCAUUGGCACUACGGCCAUGUCACAUCUGAUCGACCACAGCGAUCAUUUUAUAACCAUAUCCCUCUUUAUAACUGUUCAUCGUACGCGCCUUUUUCCGCCCAACUGAUGGUGCUUGGUGCAAUACAAUUUUACUUACAUCGAUGAAGCCGAUACAUGAUGGUAUUCUAUAUUGAGCGUACAACGAAUUCACGGGCACAACGCAUCCUGUCUCAAGAGGGCCAAGAAACGUACUGCCUCAAAGAGUAUACGAUCGCUAUUAAUGACCGGUCAGCAUAAUGAGAUACAUUUCCAUCUGUCAUCCGAGCAAGGAUAUCUCCUGUACACAGUUAAAAUGAUUCUCCAUGGUACUCUUCUCUCUCUCUCUCUCCUCCUGCCAUUCUGUAAAUGCAUGUCGGUAGGGAGCAAGAUGCAACUACGAGUAAUAGC